rnacentral:rRNA from 1 species
CUAACGGGUGGGUAAUGCGUGACCAACCUGCCCCAUGCUCCAGAAUAGCUCUUUGAAACGGGUGGUAAUGCUGGAUGCUCCAACUUGACGCAUGUCUUGUUGGGAAAGUGUUUAGUGGCAUGGGAUGGGGUCGCGUCCUAUCAGCUUGUAGGCGGGGUAAUGGCCCACCUAGGCUUCGACGGGUAGCCGGCCUGAGAGGGCGGACGGCCACAUUGGGACUGAGAUACGGCCCAGACUCCUACGGGAGGCAGCAGAC